UACGGAGGGGGCUAGCGUUGUUCGGAAUUACUGGGCGUAAAGCGCACGUAGGCGGACUUUUAAGUCAGAGGUGAAAUCCCAGGGCUCAACCCUGGAACUGCCUUUGAUACUGGGAGUCUAGAGUAUGGUAGAGGUGAGUGGAAUUCCGAGUGUAGAGGUGGAAUUCGUAGAUAUUCGGAAGAACACCAGUGGCGAAGGCGGCUCACUGGACCAUUACUGACGCUGAGGUGCGAAAGCGUGGGGAGCAAACAGG
rnacentral:rRNA from 1 species